GUACCUGAAGAAAAAGCAUCGGCUAACUCCGUGCCAGCAGCCGCGGUAAUACGGAGGAUGCAAGCGUUAUCCGGAAUCAUUGGGCGUAAAGGGUCCGCAGGUGGCGAAUAAAGUCUGCUGUUAAAGACCGGGGCUUAACUCCGGAAAGGCUGUGGAAACUGAUUAGCUAGAGUACGGUAGGGGUAGAGGGAAUUCCCAGUGUAGCGGUGAAAUGCGUAGAUAUUGGGAAGAACACCGGUGGCGAAAGCGCUCUACUAGGCCGAAACUGACACUGAGGGACGAAAGCUAGGGUAGCGAAAGGGAUUAGAUACCCCUGUAGUCUUAGCGGUAAACGAUGGAUACUAGGUGUAGCUUGUAUCGACCCGAGCUGUGCCGAAGCUAACGCGAUAAGUAUCCCGCCUGGGGAGUACGCACGCAAGUGUGAAACUCAAAGGAAUUGACGGGGGCCCGCACAAGCGGUGGAGUAUGUGGUUUAAUUCGAUGCAACGCGAAGAACCUUACCAGGGCUUGACAUGUCGUGAAUCUAGCGGAAACGUUAGAGUGCCUUAGGGAAUGCGAACACAGGUGGUGCAUGGCUGUCGUCAGCUCGUGUCGUGAGAUGUUGGGUUAAGUCCCGCAACGAGCGCAACCCUCGUCCUUAGUUGCCAAUAUUAAGUUAGGCACUCUAGGGAGACUGCCGGGGACGACUCGGAGGAAGGUAGGGAUGACGUCAAGUCAGCAUGCCCCUUACGUCCUGGGCGACACACGUACUACAAUGGUUGGGACAAAGGGCAGCAUGCUCGCGAGAGUAAGCGAAUCUCAUCAAACCCAGCCACAGUUCAGAUUGCAGGCUGCAACUCGCCUGCAUGAAGUAGGAAUCGCUAGUAAUCGCAGGUCAGCAUACUGCGGUGAAUUCGUUCCCGGGCCUUGUACACACCGCCCGUCACACCAUGGAAGCUGGCUACGCCCGAAGUCGUUACCCUAACCCGGUUUUGGGAGGGGGAUGCCGAAGGUAGAGCUAGUGACUGGGGUGAAGUCGUAACAAGGUAGCCGUACCGGAAGGUGUGGCUGGAUCACCUCCUUU
rnacentral:rRNA from 1 species